rfam:Myotis brandtii contig200027, whole genome shotgun sequence.
GGUGGUUCUCGGGUGAUGCACCCCAGAAUCAAGCUCCCUCCUCUCUGGUUCCAGGUGAGUCACCCGAGAACCACU